rnacentral:rRNA from 1 species
GUGAGGAAUAUUGCGCAAUGGAGGCAACUCUGACGCAGCCAUGCCGCGUGCAGGAAGAAGGCGCUACGCGUUGUAAACUGCUUUUAACCGGGAAGAAACCCCAGGACGUGUCCUGGGUUGACGGUACCGGAGGAAUAAGCACCGGCUAACUUCGUGCCAGCAGCCGCGGUAAUACGAAGGGUGCAAGCGUUAUCCGGAUUCAUUGGGUUUAAAGGGUGCGUAGGCGGAGCGUUAAGUCAGUGGUGAAAUCCUGACGCUUAACUGUAGACUUGCCAUUGAUACUGGCGCUCUUGAGUGCGCUUGAAGUGGGCGGAAUGUGCCGUGUAGCGGUGAAAUGCUUAGAUAUGGCACAGAACACCAAUUGCGAAGGCAGCUCACUAAGGCGAUACUGACGCUGAGGCACGAAAGCGUGGGGAUCGAACAGGAUUAGAUACCCUGGUAGUCC